ACAGAACAAGCCAAAAU
rnacentral:sRNA from 1 species